UCGAAAUCAUUACAACACUAAUGAAGGAUUAUAAAGCAUUAAGAGACGAAUUGCAUUAAGUAAACACUGUUAACAGAGUAAAUUCUUACAAUUAAGCAGAUUACAUGAGAUUCAUCUACAUCCUAAGCUAUCCUAGAUCCUACCUCCACAAGGAAUUUAGCUCCUCAUGUUGCUUCGUUCGCGUCCUCGCUUCAACGUCAUGGCUUGAGAAUCCAUGCUAUUGAGUUG
rnacentral:lncRNA from 1 species